rnacentral:rRNA from 1 species
AUUGAACGCUGGCGGCAGGCCUAACACAUGCAAGUCGAGCGAGCGGCGGACGGGUGAGUAAUGUAUGGGGACUGCCCGCUAGAGGGGGAUCACUACUGGAAACGGUAGCUAAUACCGCAUACUAUCGGAUAACCCAUAUGGGAUUAUCUAGUAUGUGAGGUAAUGGCUCACCUAGGCGACGAGCCCUAGCUGGUCUGAGAGGAUGAUCAGCCACACUGGGACUGAGACACGGCCCAGACUCCUACGGAGGCAGCAGUGGGGAAGAUUGCACAAUGGGCGAAAGCCGGAUGCAGCCAUGCCGCGGGUAUGAAGAAGGCCCUAGGGUUGUAAAGUACUUUCAGUCGGGAGGCGUUACCGACAGAAGAAGCACCGGCUAACUCCGUGCCAGCCGCCGCGGUAAUAC